UGCUAGAAUUUGAACACAUGUAAAGAAGAAAAUGAAUCAGUCAGCAUGGGUUGAGAAACACAUGAAACAUUCAAACCACCCGCCCCACGAACACAUACCUCCUUUCAGCUACCAAUGGGGAUCCCGAAACCAAGUUUCUCUUAGUUACAGCCCUACGUCUAUUUUUAGCACGCUGCUCUGAGCAAGCCCACUCGGCAUGUUCGCAGAAGUCAGAAACCACGGGCAAAGAAGCAAGGUGAACCUCAAGCCUGCGGCCAGCUGGCUGCAAAGCAGGCACGAAACAUGACGGGCUCUGCAAACACCUGCAAAGGCUGAAUAUUGAAAAUGUUUGAUGUUGGUUAUGCUGUGUGAACAGGCACAAAGAUGUUAAGAUUGACAAAUCACCUUCCAAAAAGCAGAUUCUGGAUUCUGGGAUUUUCUUCAUCAGAUGACCCAUGAAGAACUCACUACCAAAAUCUUCUGCACGAAUGAAGGCACCAUAUUUCAGGAAUCCUACCUCGUAAGGAGUGAAUUCUACCCAUUCUGAAAUGAAAAAGCACACAACAGACUGAUUACAGCAGCAGAGGCUCAAAAUAGUUGAAUAAAACCUGAUACUAGCCAA